CGGGUUAAAUAAAAUUACGAGGCAAGUGUCCUUUCCGAGACUUCUUUGCGGUAAAUGUUUGAAUAAUAUCAAUAUCAUCAAGUGACUUGAAUAUCUCCCGCUCGGUGUAACAUACCAUCAAGUCAUUGAACCACACAUCGUUGAUCUUAUUGCGCAAUUUAGACUUGAUAAUCUUCAUUGCUGAAAAAGCUCUUUCAACGGAUGUU
rnacentral:lncRNA from 1 species